UCAUUAGUUUUUUAAUUGAAAGCUGGAAUGAAUGGUUUGAUGAAAAAAUAACUUUCUUUAUUUUAUUAAGAUAAUUUUAUUUUUAAGUUAAAAAGCUUAAAUAUUUAUAAAAGACGAGAAGACCCUAUAGAGUUUUAUUAUUAGAAAUUUAUUAAUUUAGGAAUUUAGUUUAAUAAUUUUUUAUAUAAUUUGAUUGGGGUGAUUAAAAAAUUUGAUUAACUUUUUUUAUUUUUAAACAUUGAUGUAUGAAUUUUUGAUCCAUUUUUAUUUGAUUAUAAGAAUAAAUUACCUUAGGGAUAACAGCGUUAUUUUCUUUUAGAGUUCAAAUCGAAAGGAAAGAUUGCGACCUCGAUGUUGGAUUAAAAUUAAUUUUAGGUGUAGGAGCUUAAA
rnacentral:rRNA from 1 species